AGUCGAGCGGAUGAGAGGAGCUUGCUCCUUGAUUUAGCGGCGGACGGGUGAGUAAUGCCUAGGAAUCUGCCUGGUAGUGGGGGAUAACGUCCGGAAACGGGCGCUAAUACCGCAUACGUCCUACGGGAGAAAGCAGGGGACCUUCGGGCCUUGCGCUAUCAGAUGAGCCUAGGUCGGAUUAGCUAGUUGGUGAGGUAAUGGCUCACCAAGGCGACGAUCCGUAACUGGUCUGAGAGGAUGAUCAGUCACACUGGAACUGAGACACGGUCCAGACUCCUACGGGAGGCAGCAGUGGGGAAUAUUGGACAAUGGGCGAAAGCCUGAUCCAGCCAUGCCGCGUGUGUGAAGAAGGUCUUCGGAUUGUAAAGCACUUUAAGUUGGGAGGAAGGGUUGUAGAUUAAUACUCUGCAAUUUUGACGUUACCGACAGAAUAAGCACCGGCUAACUUCGUGCCAGCAGCCGCGGUAAUACGAAGGGUGCAAGCGUUAAUCGGAAUUACUGGGCGUAAAGCGCGCGUAGGUGGUUCGUUAAGUUGGAUGUGAAAGCCCCGGGCUCAACCUGGGAACUGCAUCCCAAAACUGG
rnacentral:rRNA from 1 species